rnacentral:rRNA from 1 species
GCUGGCGGCGUGCUUAACACAUGCAAGUCGAACGGAAACAGAAAGAAGCUUGCUUCUUUGCUGUCGAGUGGCGCACGGGUGAGUAAUGUAUAGUUAAUCUGCCCCUUAGAGAGGGAUAGCCACUGGAAACGGUGAUUAAUACCUCAUACUCCUAUAUACAUAAGGUAUAUAGGGAAAUGUCUUUUCGCUAAGGGAUGAGACUAUAUGGCAUCAGGUAGUUGGUGGGGUAAUGGCCCACCAAGCCAAUGACGCCUAGCUGGUCUGAGAGGAUGAUCAGCCACACUGGUACUGAGACACGGACCAGACUCCUACGGGAGGCAGCAGUGGGGAAUACUGCACAAUGGAGGAAACUCUGAUGCAGCAACGCCGCGUGGAGGAUGACGCAUUUCGGUGUGUAAACUCCUUUUAUAUGGGAAGAUAAUGACGGUACCAUAUGAAUAAGCACCGGCUAACUCCGUGCCAGCAGCCGCGGUAAUACGGAGGGUGCAAGCGUUACUCGGAAUCACUGGGCGUAAAGCGCGCGCAGGCGGCCCGAUAAGUUGGAAGUGAAAUCCUAUGGCUUAACCAUAGAACUGCUUCCAAAACUGUCGGGCUAGAGUCUGGGAGGGGAAGAUGGAAUUAGUUGUGUAAGGGGUAAAAUCCGUAGAGAUAACUAGGAAUACCAAAAGCGAAGGCGAUCUUCUGGAACAGUACUGACGCUGAGGCGCGAAAGCGUGGGGAGCAAACAGGAUUAGAUACCCUGGUGGUCCACGCCCUAAACGAUGAAUGUUAGUCGUCGGGAUGCUAGUCUAUUCGGUGAUGCAGCUAACGCAUUAAACAUUCCGCCUGGGGAGUACGGUCGCAAGAUUAAAACUCAAAGGAAUAGACGGGGACCCGCACAAGUGGUGGAGCAUGUGGUUUAAUUCGAAGAUACGCGAAGAACCUUACCUAGCCUUGACAUAUUUUAGAACACUUUAGAGAUAGAGUGGUGCCUUCGGGAGCUAAUAUACAGGUGCUGCACGGCUGUCGUCAGCUCGUGUCGUGAGAUGUUGGGUUAAGUCCCGCAACGAGCGCAACCCUCGUCACUAGUUACUAACGGUUCGGCCGAGGACUCUAGUGAGACUGCCUUCGUAAGGAGGAGGAAGGUGAGGACGACGUCAAGUCAUCAUGGCCCUUACGGCUAGGGCAACACACGUGCUACAAUGGGCAGGACAAUGAGAAGCGAUACCGCGAGGUGGAGCAAAUCUAUAAACCUGUUCUCAGUUCGGAUUGUAGUCUGCAACUCGACUACAUGAAGCUGGAAUCACUAGUAAUCGUAGAUCAGCUAUGCUACGGUGAAUACGUUCCCGGGUCUUGCACUCACCGCCCGUCACACCAUGGGAGUUGAUUUCACCCGAAGCGGGGAAGCUAA